CAGCAGCCGCGGGAAUACGAAGGGGGCUAGCGUUGCUCGGAAUGACUGGGCGUAAAGGGCGCGUAGGCGGCGAUCAAAGUCAGGCGUGAAAUUCCUGGGCUCAACCUGGGGGCUGCGUUUGAUACUUGACUGCUAGAGUGGGGAAGAGGGUCGUGGAAUUCCCAGUGUAGAGGUGAAAUUCGUAGAUAUUGGGAAGAACACCGGUGGCGAAGGCGGCGACCUGGUCCUUGACUGACGCUGAGGCGCGAAAGCGUGGGGAGCGAACAGGAUUAGAUACCCCCGUAGUCCCUGUCUCUUAUAC
rnacentral:rRNA from 1 species